CAUUCUUAGCAAGAGAAAAAUUCAGUAUGGAAUAAUUAAAUUGUAGGUUUUGGAUAUUCUUUCCCAGUGAUGGAAAAGACGAGCAGUACAGUCACAUUAAGCAUAUGCUCUACCACUGAGCUCCUCCCCCAACACAAGGACUGGAAAAUUUGAUCAUCCUUUGCAGGGUUACCUGGCUGGAUGACACGCAGAGAUGUGGCCCGACUUCUCAAGAGAAGCUUUCCUUCACACUUCUUACCGUACCCUUAAUUGGAAAACAAGUUAGUCCUCGAAGGUCUUCUUCCGGUGAGGCUCCUAAAGAUGAUGCUGAAGCCAAGUGUAUCUUCUCCUGUCUCCAUUCUCAUGCCCUGGGGCCACCUUGGUUAAUGGGUCUUUCGGAUUUCUUCCCUGAGGUGGUUACAGCUUCUGGAUUUGUUUGAAAAAUCUUAGAUCCUCUUUCUGACUCUGCUAUUAUUAUGGGGUUCCCCCCAUCAGCCAGAAACUGCAUUUGACUCAAGCUCUUAGAAUUUCAUAGUUUUGAAAGUCCUUAAAGGUCAUCAAGUCUAACAUCUCCAUCCUACUCACCUUCUGAUAUUUGAAUCUUCUCUGUACCAGAAGAAGUAUCUCAAGUGCCUUUCUAACUUUUGUUUGAAUGCCUCCAAUGACAAGGAACUUACUACUUCACAAGCAUCUCAUUUCAUCUGCCUAUGAAGUUUCUUAUUCUACUGAAUUGUCGUCUAAAUCCUGGCUUCUACCUACUGAAAGAGACAGUUCAUCACUGAAGAAGAAAUCAAGUCAAAUUGGCUAGCAGGAAGAAACUCUUUGGGAAUCCUUAGCUUCAUUAGAAGUACACUUUUGUUCAAAUGAAGUGUUAAAAUUAAAGCAGUAUAUAUCUGAGUGGGGCCAAUUGGCAUGAACUCAUCACAGCAUAUGGUGUGCUUCCUUUUAUAUGCAUGUUUAGCAGCUAGUGGGUACCAAACCUCGCACAGCUCUCAAUUGCUAGCACUAAUGAAGGAUCUGUUUGCCUUUGGGGAUAAAGAUGGUAUCACUGAUUCACAGUUGUUUUUCCAGGAGUGAAGAACAGAUUUUACUUCCUCAUUCAAACUCUUGCUUGGUCCUUUCCCUUCCCCACUACCACUGUCCUAAUUCAGGCACCAUUCUCUCUUGCCAGGAUUGUUCACUUGCCUCUACCUGGCCUUCCAGCUUCCAGUUCUGGCCCUCUCUGGUCUAAGGUAACAUUGCCAGGGGAAUCUUAAUGUCACAGAUUUGAGGUAUCACUUCUGGAUCAAAAUGCUUCAGUGACUCCUCUUAGCUCCAGCAUGGAGUCUAAAUUUCUUAGCAUGGCAAAUAGGUAGGGA
rnacentral:lncRNA from 1 species